rnacentral:rRNA from 1 species
UACGUAGGGCGCAAGCGUUGUCCGGAAUUAUUGGGCGUAAAGAGCUCGUAGGCGGUUUGUCACGUCUGCUGUGAAAACUGGAGGCUCAACCUCCAGCCUGCAGUGGGUACGGGCAGACUAGAGUGCGGUAGGGGAGACUGGAAUUCCUGGUGUAGCGGUGAAAUGCGUAGAUAUCAGGAGGAACACCAAUGGCGAAGGCAGGUCUCUGGGCCGUAACUGACGCUGAGGAGCGAAAGCGUGGGGAGCGAACAGG